CCGAGUUGUAAUUUGUAGAGGAUGCUUUUGGCGCGGUGCCUUCCGAGUUCCCUGGAACGGGACGCCUUAGAGGGUGAGAGCCCCGUACGGUUGGACACCAAGCCUCUGUAAAGCUCCUUCGACGAGUCGAGUAGCUUGGGAAUGCUGCUCUAAAUGGGAGGUAAAUUUCUUCUAAAGCUAAAUAUUGGCCAGAGACCGAUAGCGCACAAGUAGAGUGAUCGAAAGAUGAAAAGCACUUUGAAAAGAGGGUUAAACAGCACGUGAAAUUGUUGAAAGGGAAGCGUUUGCGACCAGACCUUUUCUUAGCGGAUCAUCCGGUGUUCUCACCGGUGCACUUCGCUAGGUUUAGGCCAGCAUCGGUUUCUGUAGGGGGAUAA
rnacentral:rRNA from 1 species